ensembl:lncRNA
GGAUGUGAUUAUUCCACUCCUACAUUCUGUCUGGAGAUACAAUUGAAUAUUCAGUAGCAUGCAAGCCAAUUCACAACAUUCAGGACAACUGCAAAAUUUGCAUGGAGAAGGAACUACACCUGGAAACGGGACGAGCCAGAACUUUUACCAGCUAUGUUUACCACCUCCCACUGCAAGUCCCUCAUAUUCUGGACAAACUGCCACCGGAAAUUACUUCACCUGCACAGUUCAACCAGCAACCAGUGACCAGAUUUUGGCUAGUGGCGUUCAAGCUACCAAAGAACCUGCAAUCGAAUAAUGCUGCUCAGAGAGCUGUUGCCGUUGUCCCACCAUUGUCUCCAAUAGGAACAGCCCCUGUUAAUGUAUUAGACAAAUCUGCUAAUGUGAAAAUGAAUGUAAACCCUGUGCAAGAGACUGUACACCUUCAACCAAAUAUUCCACAUCCUCUGGUGUCCAACGCUAAUCUGAUGAACCAAACGGGAGAACCAAAUGACCCAACAAGCAAGCAUCAACGACCAAAGUCAGCAGAACCAAGGCUGAAUGAUGGCCUUUGCAACGUAGUUGGAGCCAAGAGUCCGGUUUUGGCUAAUGAAUCAACUGACCAAAGUCCGAACCUGAAAUGUGUGGUUGCAGAACAAAACGAGUCUGUUCCAGCUCAAAUGCAAAAUGAAUCAGCUGAAAAGAUGAAUAAAAACUGUACAGUGAUGGACAAAAAAACAAUUGACCCGGACACUGUUCCUUUUAUUGAAUGGCCAUUAGAUCGAUUGCAGACCUUAAUGGCCGUGAUUCAGCAAAUAGAAAAUGGGGAUCAGAAGAACAUCCACAUAACUGAUCCUGGGAAGGACAUCUUAAAACUUUACUGGAAUGGGGAUACUCGCAAGUUUUCUGAAGUUGUAGAAAGUGGCAUAUAUCAAAGCAUAAUGGAAGAAGUUUAUAUUUACUCUCCGAUGAACGAGCCUGUGAUACUGAGGCAAAUUGUAAAUGAUGCACGUAGCAAAGUCAUUGAGAAUUUUCACGUUUUAAAACACAACGAAGUGCCACCGAAGAUGACGUACACGUCGUCCUGGUUGAAUCUUAAUGAAAACGUUGAUGACAUCGACAAGGAAUGUGGUUAUUCUUGGUUCUAUAAGUCUUUUCAAAAUGUCCCCGAACACGAAGCACAAAACUCGGCAUGUGAAGCACCAAGCAAAUUGCAAGAAGCCACUGAAAAGCCAUCAUUGAUUGGGACUAAACAAUUACCAUCAGCGGUGGAGAACAAAGUACCAGCAGAUGAACCAGCAUCAAACAAGGAGAGUCUACAUGAAACCGUGCCCGUUUCAUUUAAUGGACAAUCAUCACCUGUGGCUAACAUCAACUGCUCACCGAAGCAUAAUUGUCAGGUUACAGAACUAACCAACAGUCAACCAAUUAUUGCAAAAUCUCUGGAGGCCAUGGUGGAUUUGGGUGAACAAGGUGUCCCUACUGGAAAGUCAAGUUUGGAUAACCAAUUUGGAACCAAGAGUGUUUUGUCGCCCAAAUCAAUUGGCCAAAAUGACUAUACAAACUCCCCAAAGCCCAUUCAUGUGGUUGCAAAACAACAGGAGAUUGCGUUAUCUUCUGAAAUGCAAGUUAGAUCCAGUCAAAAAAUGCUUAAUGAAUGUGCCGUUCUUGAUAAGAACGUGAGAUAUGAGACCACGCCAAAACCUAGUCAAGAAACUCCUGUGCAAGUGAAUGAAUUGGAGACUGACAAGAUGGAUUCUUCAGCCACUAAGAUGAACGUUCUCCCUCAUGAAAUGGCUAGGCAGUGCUUUGCUAAUGAGAUGAAAGGACAUCAAAUCAUUGCUGCAUUUCCAGACAAGCACAAGGCGCCUUUGUUGAACACAACCCAAGUACUUGACACAAAAUCAACAGAAGAACCAAUAAGCAGGCAGAAGCUAGAGGAGAAGGCCAAAUAUUCAGCAUCCAGAGUUCUAGCAUUGCUAUCAGAACAGUACAAGUCAUCUUUAGCUGAACAUAUUCCAUUUACAGACAAAGUACAACAAGAACAAAUCUCCUCCAAGAAAAAUAUGUACGAUGAGAUUCGUGAAGAAUCUCCUGUUCCCUCGAACGCUCAGUCUCCAUCAGUGAUUGAUAACGUCUCUCCGAAGAUUAAUGAACAACCAAAUACUGUUAAUCCACUGAACAGCAUGAGAAACCUGGUGAGGACACUGGAAAAACGAAAUGUUUCAUUAAUAAAGUAUAAAAAAUUAAUUGAAAAACAUGGUGGUUUGAAAAAGCAUAAAAAGUCAUCUAGAACAUCAAAACUGGACACCAGUUUUGGUAAUAGUGUUGGAGCCCAAAGUCCCAUUUUGAUUGAUGAAACAUCCAGCGAAAGUGACUGCACAAUCGAAGCAUCGACGCUUAGUCCUGUGGUUGAAAAACGGCAGUUUGUUCCAUUAACCCAAGUGCAAAAUGAAUCCAGUGAAAUGAUGCUUAACAGUAAAAUUGAUAAAACCCUAAGAUGUGAGACUGAUCCAAAACCUUGUCAAGAUUUUUACGUACAAAUCAAUGAUGAGAAGAUUGUUGAGAUGGAUGCUUCAUCUUAUUUUAAGCUUGAUGUUCUUACUCAGGAAAUGGCUAAACGAUGCUUUGCUGAAAAUAAAGACAUUGCUCCAACACCAAAGAAUGCAAUAUUAAGGCUGGAUGACCCUCUUUGUAAUCGAGCCAAAAGUCCAGUGUUGGCUCAUGGAUCAACCAGGCGAAUUGACUAUGCACGUCCGCCAAAACUUUAUCCAGUGCUCACGGGACCAUCUCAAAUGCGAAAUGAAUCUGAUGAAGAAAUGCCUGAAAUCGACUGUGUACUCGCAGAGGACUCUGUGAGAUGUGAGACUGAAUCAAAACCCAGUCUAGAACUUUCUAUGAAGAUGAAUGAAGAGGAGUUUGUCGAGAUGGAUGCUUCAGCUUCUAUUAAGAUUAACGUUCUCCCUCAUGAAGUGGCUAUGCAAUGCUUUGCUGAUCAGAUGAUUGAAGAUAAAGACACUGCUGCACCACUGGAGACAAUGCACUGGGCCUGUUUGUUGAAUUCACCCCAAGACACAGUAUCAACAAAAGAACAGAUAAACAUGUGGAGGAUGGAAGGGUCUGAUGGAGCUAAAAGUCCAGUGUUGACUGAAGGAUCAACGAGCCAAAGUAUUUGUGCAAGUCCACCAAAACUUGAUCCUGUGAUUAAAGAACCAUCUCAAGUGCAAAAUAAAUCCAAUGAAGAAAUGCCUGAAAUUGACUGUAUGCUCACAGAUGAGAGCUUGAGAUGCAAGACUGAUCCAAAACCUAGUCAAGAACUUCCUGUUAACAUGAAUGAAGAGGAGACUGAGAAGAUUGACAGUUUAGACUCUAUUAAGAUUGAUGUUUUCCCUCAUGAAGUGGCCAAGCUUUGGUUUGCUGGCGAGACGGAAGAUAAGGACUUGCAGAAAGAUACUACAGUUCAUAAUUCCACUGAGGACCAGGUGAAGGUUCAAGUCCUGGAACUCGAUUCUGAAAAAGUGCUCCUAGAAGAUAUGAAGCCAAAAGAGAGAAAAUAUCCAAGUUCUGGUGGUGAACAGUUGGAGUCUUACUGUUGUCUUGCUAAAUGGUUUCAAACUUUAGAACAUGGAAAUGGCUCGUUGUGCAUGUGCCAGAUAAAAUCAGAGUCGAGGGAGAAGGAGAUUCAAAUGGAGGCCCACAGAACAAGUUUAGAGGUGCAGGCUGAAAAAGACAGUCCUGGUGAUUGCGAACGUGUGGAAAUGGAUGCUGCUGCUGCUCUGGAAAGAACAGAUGAUUCUGAAGCCACAGAUGAUUCUGAGGACGAAAACCCAUUGCUGCAUGAUCCUACUACGGUGAAGACAAAGAUUGCGAAAGACAUAUCAACUUCCGAAGAGGUCUCCAAGGCAGAGACUGAAACUUCAGAGCAGAAAAGAAGUGAAUCGCCCACAAAAUGUGCAACAAACAUGACUCUUAUGAAUGUGAUUGAGCAAGACACCCCAGCUCCUGAUUUGAAGGAGACUAAAACGGUAUGUCUUGCACUGUAUGGGUCGUCUUCUGAAAAAGGAAACCAACUAAAGCUAACUAAAAGAUGCAAAGAGAAAUCAAGUCGUGAAGAACCCCCAAAAACUCUUCAAAUAAUUAUAAGCUCUCACCAGAAGGUUAAAAACAACAGCGAGUCAAAGAAGCGCAUAUGUAUGGAAUCAGAAGAUGAAGAUGCUACUGACAGGAGAAAGCGGAUACGAAGAGCAUCCUUGCAAAGUCGGGUUCAGCGUAAAUCCUUCAGCUAUUUGGUUGAAGGAAAUAAGCGGAAGAGACGGCACAAGCAUACAACGCAACAAAUGUCAAUGAAUAAAUAUAUCACUAGAGGGAAGACCGUGCCAUCCAAAUUAUUGCAUUCACCCGUUAAUGUAAAGAAAAGUAAAUAUGAGUUGGGGAACCCUGCACUGAUGCCAUUGGAUGAGGGUCCUGCUUUGGAGUUCAAAGUAUUGCCAGAGACUUUUACCUUGGAAGAUGGAGCUGAACUUAAUUGCGCUCAAGCCGACACAUCACAGACUAUGCAAAAUGAGAUGUCAGGCCCAGAAGAAAAAGCCGAAAGGAAGAAAACUAGCCAUGUGCCAACCCAAGGUGUCUGGAGUUUCAGUCCCUUGAAGAAAAAGUGCACUCAACCCAUCCAGGACACUGACGUCUCAGGCUCAUGUAGCCUCUUCCAAGAGUUCAAAAAGAAAUAUCAAGAAAAGAAGGGCGUUGCCUCCAAGCAGAACUUGAAUUCCAGUGAAAGAGCUUGA